ACAAGCUGUCGGAGCCCGUUAAUGGGUGACGGCGUGCCUCUUGCAGAAUGAACCGGCGAGUUACGAUUGCAUGCAAGGUUAAGGUGGAAAAACCGGAGCCGUAGCGAAAGCGAGUCUUAAAUGGGCGUAAGAAGUAUGUAGUUGUAGACCCGAAACCAGGUGACCUACCCAUGUCCAGGUUGAAGGUGCGGUAAAGCGCACUGGAGGACCGAACCCGUGUCAGUUGAAAAUGGCUGGGAUGAGGUGUGGGUAGCGGUG
rnacentral:rRNA from 1 species